rnacentral:lncRNA from 1 species
CUACACAUACUUUUAGGCAUAUGAUUAAUCUUUGUGACCUUGCUGAGUUAUGAAUGAAUUUAAAUUUAGGAGCAAAUUUAUGUUCAUUUCUGAAUCUUAGUGUUUUUCUUGUCUCAGAUGCUAUUCACCAACCAUAACUCUCCUUAGGAAAAAAGUAACCAUUGUGAAGUACUGAAGAAGAGUCUUGUCUAGUCCUUGACGAGAAAGAGGAUGGUUCAAAGAAGGCAAAAAGGAGGAAAUUCUAGUCUGAGUCAGAGAUCAGGAGGACACUGUGAAAAAGGAGUUCUCACCAUGGUGAACAUUCUGAUGUGAUUCCUGGAAUAGGUAAGAAUGGUUCUAACAUAGUAAUUGAGAAGGUAGUUCUGUUAAGCAUUCACCUCAUCAACCAACACGUGGACAGCAUUUAACUGAUCUGAAUAAAGUUGUUUUGGAAAGUAUCUGCCCAUUUUGUGCAGGAAGGAAAUGCAGCUCAAUGAGGUGUUCGGAAAUAACCUUUGACUGCCAAAAAAACAGCUGCUGCUGUUGGAUACCAAGAAAGCACAAGCAGAAUGACAAGAACUGAUGGUGAAAGAGAAUGGACUGAAAUAUUCUGAAAUUCAUUAUAAAUUGUACCUGAAUACAAAAAGCCAGAGACUGGUUAUUAAUAGAGCAUGGAAGAAAGCUGCUGGAUGUUUGAAACACCUCCAUCAGAUAUGA